UACGUAGGACACGAGCGUUAUCCGGAGUUACUGGGCGUAAAGGGCGGGUAGGUGGUGCGAUAAGACUGGUGUGAAAGCCUUCGGCUUAACCGAGGGAGGACACUGGUGACUGUCGGACUUGAGGCAGAUAGAGGGGUGUAGAAUUCCGGGUGUAGUGGUGAAAUGCGUAGAGAUCCGGAGGAAUACCAGAGGCGAAGGCGGCACCCUGGGUCUGACCUGACACUGAUCCGCGACAGCAUGGGGAGCGAACGGG
rnacentral:rRNA from 1 species